AAGAUCCCAUGGCCCUUGACCUGGAGGAGCUCAUGGUCUAAGCAGUUUGGGUGGUGUCAGACCUGCCAGGGAGGCAUCAAGGAUAGAUUUUCAGAGAUCAAUGCUUCUUUUUACAGGACAGGAAACUGAGCUUAGAGAGGGUAGUAAAUAGCAAGACCAAGGCUCAAGGUCAGACAUCGCUCAUCCUAACCACCGUCUGAAGUCUCUGGAGUCACUGAUGGGUUGAUCCGUCAGCAAUUCAAAUGCUGAUUGAGUGCCAGUUCUGAGUCCAGCACUGUGAGGCACUGUGACGCUGAGACUGGGGCUUCAGGGGAGCCAGUGCCCGCAGCCACUGCUCCUGUCAUCUGGGAGCUGACAGGCUGGUGUGCAGACAGACACGCAAGAGGACUUCCGGAGUGACCAAAUCUAGGAGGAUGUGAGGGUGUUGGAGGAAGGGGUUGUUCAUACAGUCAGAGAGGUCUCUGCUUUCCUCCCUCUUUCGUUCCAUUCCUCACCAAAUAUUCCGUGAGCCGACUGCAUGCCAGGCAUUUUCUAGUACUUUGCAGCUUAUCAGUCUCCUGCUUCUGCACACGUCUCAGCUGAAAGCUAGAGAAAUAAAAAAUUUAGAGUAACAGAGGGAAUUUGCAUAAACAAGAGCAAUUGAUUCUGAAAUGAAGAAGUUAUCAGGACUUUUCAAUAGGAAUCUAAUUGCUUGUCUUCACACCUUCUGUCACCAGCUGAAUGUUCCAGAUUAUCAUGCUCUUGUAUUCCUGGAGUAGAGGGAACACAGUGUGGCUGCUGCUAAAUUUGGUGUGUUUGGGAACAAAAUCAAGACAACAGAGAUACAAGGGAUGCAAGCCUGGUGCCAUCUGCCUGAAGAGCUCCCCAGUAGGGCAAGGGGCCGGAGGACCACCCCUCCCUGUCCUCCUGGGCCCGGUGCUUCCUGAACAAGACUCCUGGGCACCAGGACCCUCUGCAAAAGGUCUUGGGCAUCUAUGGUGAGAGCGAUGGCCAGAAAGCCUCGGACCACCCAGAGCCAGGAACCCACAGCCCAGCAGGGAAGAUGGCUCUUGGAGACCCCAGCAGGGUUUGGAGUCCCCUGGAGGUUUCCAAGCCAGGCCUGUCUACCUGGACGGAGGCCCUGAUCUGUGCGGCCUGCUGCCAUUCACCCUCAUGCCUGCUCAGCCCCCUGCCACCCUCCUGCCAGACUCACCACCCCUGGAUGCCCAUCCUGCCUGGACAGAGUCAGGGCCCUCCUGCCAGGCCCAUCCUGUUGCCACCCGAGCUGCAGGAGACGGUCGCACGUUUCUGCUGGGCGCACGUGUGUUUAUGUCCUGCCCCCGACGGCCCCGCACUCCUCCCAGGCCCUGCCAGCUUCCAGAACAUUUAUCAGGCCUCUGUAUGUUUUUCUUGUGUGGGAUCUAAAAUGAUUUCUUUAAACAAGGUCUAAACUGGGA